ensembl:lncRNA
GGCCAAACUGAGCCGGACCAGAUUGAAGAAGAAGCAGGCAGGGGGCUGGGUUAGUGACUGAAGUCUGAAUCUAUAUCUGAGUAGGGAGUCUGUUCCUCUAGCCUGGGGCUGGGACAGGGGUCGGGGGGUCUGUUUCUCUGAGCCUGGGACCAGAGCAAGGGCAAGGGCUCUGUUCUGAGCCUGAUUUGGGAAUGGGGCCAAGACUGCAGCCAGGGCUGGUCCAGGACUAGCUGAGUCCCGGACUCGGUCUAGUUCUGGAGCCGAGGCUGGCGUGGCUGGCUGCCCGCAGCGGUACCGUCCUGCAGCGGUACCGGUAGUGUAGUGUAGUGUAGUGUAGUGUAGUGUAGUGUAGUGCAGUAAGCGGGCCAAGAUGGCUCUACCAGAACCUGUGGAGUCCAGGGAGCCCAAGGUACCCAGGGUCACGAGGAGAAGGGAGAAACGGGGAGGAGGCGCCCUGGACUCGGCCGCCUUGGACUGACCAGUGCUGUAGGUGCUGGGGGAGGGGAAGGAGAGAAAGGGCUGCAGGCGGGCGUCGUUGUGCCAGGGCAGGAAGGGGCGGAGUUGGGCUCGGGGGGAGUACCGCUCCCAGACUCGGAUGAAACUAGUUGCCCGUAGCCAGGGUGGCAUCAGAGGAAGGAGGCAGACUCUGAACUGCGCUGGGGCUAAGUCGUGCGCAGAAAGACUGACUCGGUCCGACCAGGCUGUCCUGCAGGCUGAGAAUGCCAAGAACCAUGUGGGUCUUCCUCCCUGUCCUGCUGAGCACCCUGCUUUGUGUACAGCCAGCUCACAGUCUCCGUUGCUAUAACUGUACAGCGGCAACGAAAUCCAGUCAAUGCAACUCUGUUGAGUGCUCCGUGUCAGAAACUCGCUGUGGGAGUAUUAAAGUUGCAGAUAAAGAUGAUGGGGAAAUGGAGGCACACUUGACCUGCAUACUGAUGAAAGGCUGACCUCAACAAAUGGUUGUUUGGCAAAAAUGGGAAAAGGUGAUAAAAAGGACUCGUGUCGUUUUGCGUGAACUCUCAGUAUAGGGGGCAAGGAUGAUUGGGAAUCAAGUUUAAAAGUGGAGAGGAAAGGCAAAUGAGGAGGCACCCGGUGGGUUAGCAGAGGAACCAGAGAUGCAGGCCGUGGACCUUGCUCAGCAUACUAUCAUAAGAUUAAAGAUGGAAACAGCAUUGUAGGUCAGCUGUUCAAUCCUUUGUUUUGCAAAGGAGAAGUGACUUUCUUAAGGUCCCUAAGGUAAGGCUCAGGCUCCCAGUUUAUAAAUCUGGCGCUCUUUUCAGUGCUCCAAGAUCUAGGCAUAGAGUGAAACUGAAGGAUAUCUACCUGGAUGUUACCCUGAUGUUUACAACCUAUUCCCAACAAGGGAAGGUCUCCAGUAUUUUGGGUGAAGACUUGAUGGAGGAAGUAAGGAAGGAAACGAGACUUUGUUAGUCACUUACUUGUGCCAGGCACACAUAUUUUAUUUGAUUCUGAGAAGUAGCUGUUAUUAUCCCCAUUUUUUUUUUUCACUAUUGAGCAAACUAAGGCAAAUAAAGGUUAAAUGACUUUCCA